ensembl:lncRNA
UUGGAUGGGGAAAGAGGCACAUCACCGUCAUAGGAGCGAGACUCUUCACUCUGGAAACUACGGGUACGCUGCAUUCCCCGUGGCCGCAUAAGCAAGGGAGAGGAGUCACAACACCUCUGGGAAUCAAGUGCAUCUGUGAGUGAGCUUGCUUAAAAUGGUCAAAACCUAUUCUGUCUUUAUUUCUCAAAAUGUCACAGUCUUCAUUGCUGAGUUAUUUUCCCAGGAAAUGGCUCGGAAGAGGAUUUCUGCCGUGUGUUUCUGGUUUGUGUUACGGAAUCAGCUCUGAUGAAAUGUGAGUCCAUGUUAAAGGAAUAGUUCAACAUUUUGGGGAAGCAAAUGCUUCGUGGCUUUCUUGGUCGAGAGUAAGGUGAGAAAAUCAACACCCCUCUCGUAUCGGACUGCUGCUGGAGCCACGCUGGCCUGCCCGGAUUCCUCCGGCGAGAUAAGCGAUAAGUGUACGUUGUUGAGCUAUUCCUUUCAUUGUUACUGACACCGCGGACCACAUGGACUUGGCAGCACCGCCGACAACUCAAAGAAAAGGCGCAAGGGCACAACCUUUGUGGUUGUACACCGUGGCAAGAAAAGAGAAGAGACUCGCACCAAAGGAAGAACUCAGAGAGGAACAGUGGGUAAAUCCUGGGCAACAAGUUCUGUCCCCGACGCUCACGACUGGCCAAUUAUAAUUCCCCCUUUCUGUAAAUACUACAUCAGUUCUUCCCACUCUGACUCACUCCUCUCC